rnacentral:pre_miRNA from 1 species
CAUGUACUCCCUCCGUUCCAUAUUACUUGUCGCUGAUUUAGUACAAAAGUUGUACUAAAUCAGCGACAAGUAAUAUGGAACGGAGGGAGUACAUU